GUCGUACGCUUCUUUUUCACCGGAGCUUGCUCCACCGGAAAAAGAAGAGUGGCGAACGGGUGAGUAACACGUGGGUAACCUGCCCAUCAGAAGGGGAUAACACUUGGAAACAGGUGCUAAUACCGUAUAACAAUCGAAACCGCAUGGUUUUGAUUUGAAAGGCGCUUUCGGGUGUCGCUGAUGGAUGGACCCGCGGUGCAUUAGCUAGUUGGUGAGGUAACGGCUCACCAAGGCCACGAUGCAUAGCCGACCUGAGAGGGUGAUCGGCCACAUUGGGACUGAGACACGGCCCAAACUCCUACGGGAGGCAGCAGUAGGGAAUCUUCGGCAAUGGACGAAAGUCUGACCGAGCAACGCCGCGUGAGUGAAGAAGGUUUUCGGAUCGUAAAACUCUGUUGUUAGAGAAGAACAAGGAUGAGAGUAACUGUUCAUCCCUUGACGGUAUCUAACCAGAAAGCCACGGCUAACUACGUGCCAGCAGCCGCGGUAAUACGUAGGUGGCAAGCGUUGUCCGGAUUUAUUGGGCGUAAAGCGAGCGCAGGCGGUUUCUUAAGUCUGAUGUGAAAGCCCCCGGCUCAACCGGGGAGGGUCAUUGGAAACUGGGAGACUUGAGUGCAGAAGAGGAGAGUGGAAUUCCAUGUGUAGCGGUGAAAUGCGUAGAUAUAUGGAGGAACACCAGUGGCGAAGGCGGCUCUCUGGUCUGUAACUGACGCUGAGGCUCGAAAGCGUGGGGAGCAAACAGGAUUAGAUACCCUGGUAGUCCACGCCGUAAACGAUGAGUGCUAAGUGUUGGAGGGUUUCCGCCCUUCAGUGCUGCAGCUAACGCAUUAAGCACUCCGCCUGGGGAGUACGACCGCAAGGUUGAAACUCAAAGGAAUUGACGGGGGCCCGCACAAGCGGUGGAGCAUGUGGUUUAAUUCGAAGCAACGCGAAGAACCUUACCAGGUCUUGACAUCCUUUGACCACUCUAGAGAUAGAGCUUCCCCUUCGGGGGCAAAGUGACAGGUGGUGCAUGGUUGUCGUCAGCUCGUGUCGUGAGAUGUUGGGUUAAGUCCCGCAACGAGCGCAACCCUUAUUGUUAGUUGCCAUCAUUCAGUUGGGCACUCUAGCAAGACUGCCGGUGACAAACCGGAGGAAGGUGGGGAUGACGUCAAAUCAUCAUGCCCCUUAUGACCUGGGCUACACACGUGCUACAAUGGGAAGUACAACGAGUCGCGAAGUCGCGAGGCUAAGCUAAUCUCUUAAAGCUUCUCUCAGUUCGGAUUGUAGGCUGCAACUCGCCUACAUGAAGCCGGAAUCGCUAGUAAUCGCGGAUCAGCACGCCGCGGUGAAUACGUUCCCGGGCCUUGUACACA
rnacentral:rRNA from 1 species